AUGGAAGAUGAUGGAAGGUUGAGUCGAGUCAGAGGGGCAACUGCGAAGUCAUUGAAAAGAAGAUUGCGAUCAGAAGCGAAACGGAGUGAAGCUAACAAACGAGAACGUGAAUCUGAUGGACUAAAGUUGAGUACAACGGAGAUUUCCUUGAGAAGAAGGCGGUGGCUUGUUGAGUUACGGCGUUGUUUUGAGAAGGAUUGA